rnacentral:rRNA from 1 species
UUCCUACGGGGGGCUGCAGUGAGGAAUAUUGCGCAAUGGGGGCAACCCUGACGCAGCAACGCCGCGUGAGUGAGGAAGGUUUUCGGACCGUAAAGCUCUGUCGAGCGGGAAGAAAUGCAUAAUGGCUAAUAUCCAUUAUGCUUGACGGUACCGCUAAAGGAAGCACCGGCUAACUCCGUGCCAGCAGCCGCGGUAAUACGGGGGGUGCGAGCGUUGUUCGGAAUCAUUGGGCGUAAAGAGCGUGUAGGCGGCUGGAUAAGUCAGAUGUGGAAGCCCUGGGGUUAACCCAGGAAGUGCAUUUGAAACUGUUCAGCUGGAGUAAGGGAGAGGAAAGUGGAAUUCCUGGUGUAGGGGUGAAAUUCGUAGAUAUCAGGAGGAACACCGGUGGCGAAGGCGACUUUCUGGCCCUAUACUGACGCUGAGACGCGAGAGCGUGGGUAGCAAACAGGAUUAGAUACCCCAGUAGUC